CACUCGUGCCGCUCUUUCCUCUUCCCAGCUGCGGCGGCUCUCUCUUCCUCCCGCACCUCGCGCCGCCACCCUUGCCUCCUCCCGUCCCCCCGGCCGUCUUCCUUCCCUCCCGCCAGCCGUCCUCCUCCUCUUGCAUCUCAUCCACGUCGCACCCUUCCUCCUCCCCUCCCAUAGUUCCACUCCCCUAACCCUAGAACCGAUGAGGAGGCCGAGCCGCCAUCCGCCGCCGGCCUACGAUACCUCCUGUUCGACCACAUAGAGGGAGCACCGGACCGUCGUCCUUGCGUUCGUGCUCCUCCAGGAAGAAGAUGACCCAAGGUGAGCCGCCUCCGAUCUAUCUUGCAGAGGCAGCGGUGAGCGCCCUCUCCACUCCCCCGUUUUCUCUUUGGCCGCUGCUUCUCCGGAACUGCAGGAGACGAAUGAGUUGGGCUCAGAUGUUCCUGGCCGCCGGCUUGGUCUGCAACAGGAUGCUCCCCUGCCAUGACUUGCUCACAGGUCCUUCCUUUCGCAUCUUCAAGUUGCCGAGCUGAAGUAUCACCCGGAUUUCUGUGACGAUCUUCUGAGGUGCGAAUGCUCUAUUUCUACAGACUGCAGGCGCAAUCUCCUAUUGUAUUGUUAGUGGUGAAUCAGACUAUUUUUUUUCUCUUUGUGCCAUGAUAUUUCUUUUUAAGUUAGCCAUUACAAUCUUAGAAGCCUUGCAUGACAAAUAUAGCCCUUCAUAUAUUUUGCUUCUGUCAGUAUAUUUUGAUGGCCAUGCCCCAUGAUUGUCAAUAUAUUUUGCUUCUGUUA